GGUCGGUUCGGCCGGAUUUUACACAAGUGUUGCAUGGCUGUCGUCAGCUCGUGUCGUGAGAUGUUGGGUUAAGUCCCGCAACGAGCGCAACCCUCAUCCUCAGUUGCCAUCAGGUAAUGCUGAGUACUUUAAGGAAACUGCCAGUGAUAAGCUGGAGGAAGGUGGGGAUGAUGUCAAGUCAUCAUGGCCUUUAUGGAGUGGGCUACACACGUGCUACAAUGGUGUCUACAAUGGGCUGCAAGGUGCGCAAGCCUAAGCUAAUCCCUAAAAGACAUCUCAGUUCGGAUUGUACUCUGCAACUCGAGUAUAUGAAGUUGGAAUCGCUAGUAAUCGUGGAUCAGCAUGCCACGGUGAAUACGUUCUCGGGUCUUGUACACACUGCCCGUCACGCCAUGG
rnacentral:rRNA from 1 species